CUAAAGCAAGUCGCGUUCUAUAUAAAGAGCAAAGCAGAGGGGCAAAAGGCACUGAAAAUUCCAUUCUAUUAUAUGGAAAUGGAGAACUCUCCUUCAGAUGUAUGUUCCCAAAUGCCUUGCCAACUGGACUGGUGUCAACUGGAGUCCAACGCCUGGGCAUUUUCGAGCAGAAAAUACAAAGAUGAAUUGGGGUACCAGCGAACCAUUUACCCUAUCAUGUCUGCUGCUUCUGUUGUUUCCAUGUUUCCAACUGUGAAAUGGAGGAUCCAAUCUGUUAUGGAGAAAAUGUCGACUUCAAAUAUUUCUCUGGUUCAAUUCUGGGCACCCAUCAAGGAAGCUCUGUCUAGAUACUUUGAUUCCAAUUGAUGACUACACCGAAAGUCUAUUUGGCCCAAUUGAACGAGUUUACACAAGAUGCUUGCCAGAAUAUAACCCCGACGUCCAAAGCUGCUCCUCUGCAGAAUUUCCACUGCUCGAAACUGCAAUUCGCUUCGGAAUUCAUUCUUAUUAUGCAGUUCCAGUGUUCAACAACUAUGACCAGCAGUACCGUGGUGUACUUGAGAUUGUAUCUACACAACCAUCUCUCCAUCUUUCCCAUCUUAUUACGGGGUCAAAAAUCUAUUCAUUUCAGUUGUAUAGCAUUUGUAAUUCAAGGGACAUGCUUUUUGGACUUUUAGAGGUAUGAUGUUGCCUUUUUGAUUUUGGUGAAACCAAACAAAAUAAA